rnacentral:rRNA from 1 species
UACAGAGGCCUCAAGCGUUGUUCGGAAUUACUGGGCGUAAAGGGAAUGUAGGUGGUGAUGUAAGUCAGAUGUGAAAGCCCUGGGCUUAACCUGGGAAAGGCAUUUGAUACUGUGUCGCUGGAGUGCGUGAGAGGAAAGCGGAAUUCCAGGUGUAGGGGUGAAAUCCGUAGAUAUCUGGAGGAAUACCGACGGCGAAGGCAGCUUUCUGGCACGUAACUGACACUGAGAUUCGAAAGCAUGGGUAGCAAACAGG